GCCCCCGGGAUGAGGCCUUCGGGCUCGACCUCCAACCCUUUGUGAACACAACUUGUUGCUUCGGGGGCGACCCUGCCGUUUCGACGGCGAGCGCCCCCGGAGGCCUUCAAACACUGCAUCUUUGCGUCGGAGUUUAAGUAAAUUAAACAAAACUUUCAACAACGGAUCUCUUGGUUCUGGCAUCGAUGAAGAACGCAGCGAAAUGCGAUAAGUAAUGUGAAUUGCAGAAUUCAGUGAAUCAUCGAAUCUUUGAACGCACAUUGCGCCCCUUGGUAUUCCGAGGGGCAUGCCUGUUCGAGCGUCAUUUCACCACUCAAGCCUCGCUUGGUAUUGGGCGCCGCGGUGUUCCGCGCGCCUCAAAGUCUCCGGCUGAGCUGUCCGUCUCUAAGCGUUGUGAUUUCAUUAAUCGCUUCGGAGCGCGGGCGGUCGCGGCCGUUAAAUCUUUCACAAGGUUGACCUCGGAUCAGGUAGGGAUACCCGCUGAACUUAAGCAUAUCAAAAGGCCGGGAGGAAA
rnacentral:rRNA from 1 species